GAUGAACGCUGGCGGCGUGCCUAAUACAUGCAAGUCGAGCGAAUGGAUUAAGAGCUUGCUCUUAUGAAGUUAGCGGCGGACGGGUGAGUAACACGUGGGUAACCUGCCAAUAAGACUGGGAUAACUCCGGGAAACCGGGGCUAAUACCGGAUAAAAUUUUGAAUCGCAUGGUUCGAAAUUGAAAGGCGGCUUCGGCUGUCACUUAGGGAUGGACCCGCGUAGCAUUAGCUAGUUGGUGAGGUAACGGCUCACCAAGGCAACGAUGCGUAGCCGACCUGAGAGGGUGAACGGCAACACUGGGACUGAGAAACGGCCCAGACUACUACGGGAGGCAGCAGUAGGGAAUCUUCCGCAAUGGACGAAAGUCUGACGGAGCAACGCCGCGUGAGUGAUGAAGGCUUUCGGGUCGUAAAACUCUGUUGUUAGGGAAGAACAAGUGCUAGUUGAAUAAGCUGGCACCUUGACGGUACCUAACCAGAAAGCCACGGCUAACUACGUGCCAGCAGCCGCCGUAA
rnacentral:rRNA from 1 species